AGAGUUUGAUCCUGGCUCAGGAUGAACGCUGGCGGCGUGCUUAACACAUGCAAGUCGAACGAACCUUCGGGUUAGUGGCGGACGGGUGAGUAACGCGUGAGAAUCUGCCCUCAGGAGGGGGAUAACGGUUGGAAACGACCGCUAAUACCCCAUAUGCCUACUGGUGAAAUGAAUUUCGCCUGAGGAUGAGCUCGCGUCUGAUUAGCUAGUUGGUGAGGUAAUGGCUCACCAAGGCUUCGAUCAGUAGCUGGUCUGAGAGGAUGAUCAGCCACACUGGGACUGAGACACGGCCCAGACUCCUACGGGAGGCAGCAGUGGGGAAUUUUCCGCAAUGGGCGAAAGCCUGACGGAGCAACGCCGCGUGAGGGACGAAGGCCUCUGGGCUGUAAACCUCUUUUCUCAAGGAAGAAGAUAUGACGGUACUUGAGGAAUAAGCCACGGCUAAUUCCGUGCCAGCAGCCGCGGUAAUACGGGAGUGGCAAGCGUUAUCCGGAAUUAUUGGGCGUAAAGCGUCCGCAGGCGGCUUUUCAAGUCUGCUGUUAAAGCGUGGAGCUUAACUCCAUCAUGGCAGUGGAAACUGAAAGGCUUGAGUAUGGUAGGGGCAGAGGGAAUUCCCGGUGUAGCGGUGAAAUGCGUAGAUAUCGGGAAGAACACCAGUGGCGAAGGCGCUCUGCUGGGCCAUUACUGACGCUCAUGGACGAAAGCCAGGGGAGCGAAAGGGAUUAGAUACCCCUGUAGUCCUGGCCGUAAACGAUGAACACUAGGUGUCGGGGGAAUCGACCCCUU
rnacentral:rRNA from 1 species